rnacentral:rRNA from 1 species
UACGUAGGGUGCGAGCGUUUAAUCGGAAUUACUGGGCGUAAAGUGUGCGCAGGUGGCCGCGCAUGUCGAGUGUGAAAUCCCCCGGGCUUAACUUGGGAAUUGCGCUCGAAACUACGUGGCUAGAGUGUGGCAGAGGAAGGUGGAAUUCCACGUGUAGCGGUGAAAUGCGUAGAUAUUUGGGAGGAACACCAGUGGCGAAGGCGGCUCACUGGACCGGUUCUGACGCUCAGACACGACAGCAUGGGGAGCGAACGGGG